AGGAAUAGGCCUAAUCACUCACCAACCCUGUUCGCAUGCGUGUCAGGGUGAAUUAAAUGGCCGCCUGGAGAAGGGCUUGACACGUCCGUACGUACGGGUCUGAAGGACACAGACAGGUAACACUAUAAACGUGAAGGGAGGCUCUCUCUCUCGGGGGCUUUCUCUCCUUCCUGGACUCCAUUUUUAUUUUCUCUCUGCAACCCUUACCCAAAUAUAAUGCUCUAAUCCAUAAAAUCCGACUUGAACGUCGGAGGGUCUCCACCGGGGCAUCCCUGGUAGACCCCUGACCGUUUUUCCUUAUUUUGCAGGUCCUUUCAUCAAGUAGAACAUUGAAAGACCCAUUUGAUGGACCCAUAUGAUGAACCAAGAAGAAAGUCAGAUCUAUCAUGGACCAGGAG
rnacentral:lncRNA from 1 species